UGGGGAAUAUUGGACAAUGGGCGAAAGCCUGAUCCAGCCAUGCCGCGUGUGUGAAGAAGGCCUUAUGGUUGUAAAGCACUUUAAGCGAGGAGGAGGGUACUGGUAUUAAUACUACCAGGUACUGGACGUUACUCGCAGAAUAAGCACCGGCUAACUCUGUGCCAGCAGCCGCGGUAAUACAGAGGGUGCGAGCGUUAAUCGGAUUUACUGGGCGUAAAGCGUGCGUAGGCGGCUAAUUGAGUCGGAUGUGAAAUCCCCGAGCUUAACUUGGGAAUUGCAUUCGAUACUGGUUAGCUAGAGUGUGGGAGAGGAUAGUAGAAUUCCAGGUGUAGCGAAGAAAUGCGUAGAGAUCUGGAGGAAUACCGAUGGCGAAGGCAGCCAUCUGGCCUAACACUGACGCUGAGGUACGAAAGCAUGGGGAGCAAACAGG
rnacentral:rRNA from 1 species